ACCUUUACAGAAUUGAGGUAGAGACCCAGCAUGAAAAUGAACAGAGAAGAUUAGCAUGGCCCCUGCGCAAGGAUGACACGCAAAAUCGUGAAGCGUUCCACAUUUUU